rnacentral:rRNA from 1 species
UAGGGAAUCUUCCGCAAUGGGCGAAAGCCUGACGGAGCAACGCCGCGUGAGUGAUGAAGGUCUUAGGAUCGUAAAACUCUGUUAUUAGGGAAGAACAAACGUGUAAGUAACUGUGCACGUCUUGACGGUACCUAAUCAGAAAGCCACGGCUAACUACGUGCCAGCAGCCGCGGUAAUACGUAGGUGGCAAGCGUUAUCCGGAAUUAUUGGGCGUAAAGCGCGCGUAGGCGGUUUUUUAAGUCUGAUGUGAAAGCCCACGGCUCAACCGUGGAGGGUCAUUGGAAACUGGAAAACUUGAGUGCAGAAGAGGAAAGUGGAAUUCCAUGUGUAGCGGUGAAAUGCGCAGAGAUAUGGAGGAACACCAGUGGCGAAGGCGACUUUCUGGUCUGUAACUGACGCUGAUGUGCGAAAGCGUGGGGAGCAAACA